GUCUUACAAGAAAGCCAGCCCAGAUUGCGUGAAUUACUUAUGGUCUUGAUCCUCAUCGUUUCCUGAUUUAGGGUUCCACCAUAGUCGUCGAUAUCCGCCAUUAGAGACGUGAUGUAGGGUUCCACCACGAUCAUCUAAAUCAUCACUAGAGAGACUGAGAUGCAGACGUCUGUGUGACGAUUCUUGGGUUUCGAUCACUCCUUUCGCCUUCUUUCCACCCAUCGCAGUAAACGAGAUAGUAAACAUCGUUUAUUUCUGACGAGGUAUGAGUUACCCAAUGGUUUUACAGCAAGUGAAAAUACCCAGUGCUUGGAAGUUUAGUGAAAAUGAAUGCUCUGAUGUUACGACAAGAGAGAACCGGCAGUUCGGUGGUGCUGUGUUGUGUGAUGUAUCUGAGAUAUUGUAAUGUCUUGGUUCUGUUGAGUUUUGUACUAUGGGCGGAUAAUGCGAGGAACCCUGUUGUGAAUCCUUUAGCUUGGAUUUACCCGGGGAUGACGACUUACUAAUGUGUGUCAACUAAAGACACUGUAAGUCAAAACUCUCUCAUGCCACAUCUAUUUGGCUCUAAUGAUUGGAUCCAAGAUCUCACAUUAAAAAUGUUUGUUGCUGAGAUUUAAGCUCAAACAUGUUAACUGGUCCAGUUCCAGUUACAUUUACGAAUCAGGAUUAUAGCUUUACAUGUCUUCAAAUGAUCAAAGUUUUGUUGAUGAUUUAACCCGUGUCUUGGAAAAAAAAACUGAUUUUUUUUGUGCUUUAGAUUCUUGAGUAAUAACUACUUAACAAGUCAAGUUCCUCUAUUUGUCCUCAACAGUCGAGACAUGCUGUAAGCUACUUACAUUCGGGUUCCUGUCUAAGGCAAGACAUAGUAUGUAUAGUCAAGUGCUUAUUGUGUCCUUUCUUGAUCUGUUUCAGGGUGAUUGUUGCUACAAUCAUUAACCCAAAAAUGGGUGGAGGUAUUGAAUGUUUCAGAUUAUUGAGUAUUAUCUGAUCUUAUAUACAUAGAUUGCUGAUCCUAAGAUUGUAGGACGUAUAUUCCUCAGUGAAUUUUAAUCGUUAAUUUCUGCGCCUUACUCAUUCACUUAUUCUAAUUUAAUAUUACUCUCUUGGUUAAACGUGGCUACAUAAUAGCUUCUUGAACACCCAUUAAAUCUUUUUCUUUUAGGCCGCCUUUUCUUAAUGCCACAUAGGGGACACAUAUAUUUUUCGACAAAGAGGCUAAUGCAGUGACGAUUUUGUUUUCCGAUUUGGUCUCGAGAAACACUCUGAACAACCCAGACCUGCAUUUCUGAGAGGAUACGUCAAGGUUGAAACCACUGAGCAUAUCUGAGCUGAAUGAGUUCGUGAUCACAGCCGAGCCUCAGGAUGGUGAUGAUGGUGAAGGAGACGACUUGCCUGGGAACAUCUCAGCCCUUCCUAACGUUGGUAUCGAAGGUAACGAACGUGUGGAAACCUCAUCGGCAAGAUCAUCCUCCAGUGGUCAUGCCUUUCAACAACUUUGAAUGUGUUCAAGAAGGCACGAAAGGCUUAAGUGAACAUGAUGAAGUUUCUCGAGUCAGUUUUCAUUUUUCAAUAAUGCUUAGGCAUCAAGGUUGGUUAUUUUAAAUUUCAAAUUCUUGAGUCAGACUUCCUCUUUGAAUAAUGCAUAGGCAUCAAUGUUUCUUUCUAAAUAAAAAUUCUCCUCAUUUGGAGUUUUCUAUGUU